CCUUAGGUUGGGUAUAAACCCGGGAAACUGGGUAUAAUACCCGAUAGGUCUCGAUUGCUGGAAUGCAUCGAGAUUUAAAGCUCCGGCGCCUAAGGAUGGGUCUGCGGCCUAUCAGGUAGUAGUGGGUGUAGCGUACCUACUAGCCUACGACGGGUACGGGUUGUGAGAGCAAGAGCCCGGAGAUGGAUUCUGAGACACGAAUCCAGGCCCUACGGGGUGCAGCAGGCGCGAAAACUUUACAAUGCUGGCAACAGCGAUAAGGGAACCUCGAGUGCCAGGUUACAAAUCUGGCUGUCGAGAUGCCUAAAAAGCAUUUCAUAGCAAGGGCCGGGCAAGACCGGUGCCAGCCGCCGCGGUAACACCGGCGGCUCGAGUGGUAACCGUUAUUAUUGGGUCUAAAGGGUCUGUAGCCGGCCGGAUAAGUCUCUUGAGAAAUCUGGCAGCUUAACUGUCAGGCUUUCAGGAGAUACUGUCUGGCUCGAGGCCGGGAGAGGUGAGAGGUACUUCAGGGGUAGGGGUGAAAUCUUGUAAUCCUUGAAGGACCACCAGUGGCGAAGGCGUCUCACCAGAACGGACCUGACGGCAAGGGACGAAAGCUAGGGGCACGAACCGGAUUAGAUACCCGGGUAGUCCUAGCCGUAAACGAUACUCGCUAGGUGUCGGCCACGGUGCGACCGUUGUCGGUGCCGUAGGGAAGCCGUGAAGCGAGCCACCUGGGAAGUACGGCCGCAAGGCUGAAACUUAAAGGAAUUGGCGGGGGAGCACCACAACGGGUGGAGCUUGCGGUUUAAUUGGAUUCAACGCCGGG
rnacentral:rRNA from 1 species